rnacentral:rRNA from 1 species
CACGUAGGGUGCGAGCGUUGUCCGGAAUUAUUGGGCGUAAAGAGCUCGUAGGCGGUGUGUCGCGUCGACCGUGAAAACCUGCAGCUUAACUGUGGGCGUGCGGUCGAUACGGGCAUCACUGGAGUUCGGCAGGGGAGACUGGAAUUCUCGGUGUAGCGGUGAAAUGCGUAGAUAUCGAGAGGAACACCUGCGGCGAAGGCGGGUUGCUGGGCUGACACUGACGCUGAUGCGCGAAAGCCAGGGGAGCGAACGGG